GCCAUAUAUAUGACUCCCAAUGUUGAUUUUGGCUCCAGUGAUGAACUUAACAAGAUAAACCAUUUGAGGUGCAGAGUGAAGGAUAUGUAUGCUGUUGAAGCCAAAGCAAGAAGUCGCUAAAAGAGUUGCUCAAAUCGUCCAUGAGCAUAAUGUGAAUUAUUUAUAUAUCAUGAUUACCAUUUUAUUUCUUCUUUGUUUUCACCACAUUUGCAUGUGUGGAUAUGAUAGACAUGAUCAUAAAUUUACGUCCAUUUUGUAUUUGAUCAAUAUUUUUA